CCGGUCUCUGGUGUAUUCGGCGCGUAGGAUGUGUUUCUGUUAACAGCAAUGUAUGCUGGGUGCUAGCCGCGGAAUCCGUGGCGAACAAGGAUGUCAACCGUGCCUUCGUUGAGUUUAUGUGAAGUUAUAAGCAACAAACAAAUGCAAACGCGAUAUAAAGUCAAAAUAGGACCGAGGUUUAAAGAACUCACUGGAGGCAUGGCGCUUGACUUUGACCUGCGGAUCUGCUCGAUGGGCCUUCUCGCUGCAGGAGGAGGCAUGGCGUUUCACCUGGGCCCCAGUGGGACGUUCCGGCUCCUCAUCCUGGGUGGGAGAUGGAGGAAGGAGAUGAAGUGCAGAGGAGAAGACAUGUGAGGACACAGCGAGAAGGCAGCUAUCUACAAGCUCAGAAGAAAGGUCUCUCCAGACACCAACCCUGAUGGUACCUUGAUUUUGUACUUCUAGCCUCUUGA